UACGGAGGGUGCAAGCGUUAUCCGGAUUUACUGGGUUUAAAGGGGGCGUAGGUGGGUUGGGAAGUCAGUGGUGAAAUACUUUCGCUUAACGAAGGAACUGCCAUUGAUACUAUCAAUCUUGAAUACAGUGGAGGUAGGCGGAAUGCGUCAUGUAGCGGUGAAAUGCUUAGAUAUCGUCAAGAACACCGAUAGCGAAGGCAGCUAACUAAGCUUUAACUGACACUGAUGCACGAAAGUGUGGGGAUCAAACAGG
rnacentral:rRNA from 1 species